AAAGAGAGUCAAACAGUACGUGAAACAGUCAGGAGGGAAACGAACGAGGUUGGUGCAGUGAUCACGCAGGUUCAAGCCCUGCCGAGGGUGCCGACGCGGUGACGGAGAUCGUCCCGCGCCGUCCUCCCGAGGCAGUGCCGUACUCCUCGUGAGCACGGACCAGCGGCGGUUGGACCGGAGCCACAAGGCGGCGGAGGAAGGUGAGUCGACACGGGCCCGUCCCGUGUCGACAGCUUACAGCCCCGUCGUACGGCGCUCCGGCCCGACCGAGGAAGAUGGGCAGCCCUUGCCCACCGUGGCACACGCCGAACGGCGGGGCCUCCCGACACGAGUGAACGGUGCGGUGUGGACUGCACGCAGUGCAAACCGUGGCCGUGAUCUCGCGGCGGUGAGCGUCACCCGUGUGCCGGUGCCGCCAGCAUUCAGACGGCCUCGUCCGACCCGUCUUGAAACACGG
rnacentral:sRNA from 1 species